rnacentral:rRNA from 1 species
CGUCUCAGUUCGGACUGUGGUCUGCAACCCGACCACACGAAGCUGGAAUCGCUAGUAAUCGUGAAUCAGAAUGUCACGGUGAAUACGUUCCCGGGUCUUGUACACACCGCCCGUCACACCAUGGGAGUCAGCAACGCCCGAAGUCAGUGACCUAACCGAGAGGGAGGAGCUGCCGAAGGCGGGGCCGGUAACUGGGGUGAAGUCGUAACAAGGUACC